UACGGAGGGUGCAAGCGUUAAUCGGAAUUACUGGGCGUAAAGCGCACGCAGGCGGUCUGUCAAGUCGGAUGUGAAAUCCCCGGGCUCAACCUGGGAACUGUGUGGCUUGAGUGCAGAAGAGGAGAGUGGAAUUCCACGUGUAGCGGUGAAAUGCGUAGAGAUGUGGAGGAACACCAGUGGCGAAGGCGACUCUUUGGCCUAUAACUGACGCUGAGGCGCGAAAGCGUGGGGAGCAAACAGG
rnacentral:misc_RNA from 1 species